AUUGAACGCUGGCGGCAUGCCUUACACAUGCAAGUCGAACGGCAGCACGGGUGCUUGCUCCUGGUGGCGAGUGGCGAACGGGUGAGUAAUACAUCGGAACAUGUCCUGUAGUGGGGGAUAGCCCGACGUAAGCCGGAUUAAUACCGCCUACGAUCCACGGAUGAAAGCGGGGGACCUUCGGGCCUCGCGCUUUAGGGUUGGCCGAUGGCUGAUUAGCUAGUUGGUGGGGUAAAGGCCUACCAAGGCGACGCUCAGUAGCUGGUCUGAGAGGACGACCAGCCACACUGGGACGGAGACACGGCCCAGACUCCUACGGGAGGCAGCAGUGGGGAAUUUUGGACAAUGGGCGAAAGCCUGAUCCAGCAAUGCCGCGUGUGUGAAGAAGGCCUUCGGGUUGUAAAGCACUUUUGUCCGGAAAGAAAUCCUUGGCUCUAAUACAGUCGGGGGAUGACGGUACCGGAAGAAUAAGCACCGGCUAACUACGUG
rnacentral:rRNA from 1 species